GUCUGCAUGGAGCCGACCUUGAAAUACCACCCUUUAAUGUUUGAUGUUCUAACGUGGACCCGUGAUCCGGGUUGCGGACAGUGUCUGGUGGGUAGUUUGACUGGGGCGGUCUCCUCCUAAAGAGUAACGGAGGAGCACGAAGGUUGGCUAAUCCUGGUCGGACAUCAGGAGGUUAGUGCAAUGGCAUAAGCCAGCUUGACUGCGAGCGUGACGGCGCGAGCAGGUGCGAAAGCAGGUCAUAGUGAUCCGGUGGUUCUGAAUGGAAGGGCCAUCGCUCAACGGAUAAAAGGUACUCCGGGGAUAACAGGCUGAUACCGCCCAAGAGUUCAUAUCGACGGCGGUGUUUGGCACCUCGAUGUCGGCUCAUCACAUCCUGGGGCUGAAGUAGGUCCCAAGGGUAUGGCUGUUCGCCAUUUAAAGUGGUACGCGAGCUGGGUUUAGAACGUCGUGAGACAGUUCGGUCCCUAUCUGCCGUGGGCGCUGGAGAACUGAGGGGGGCUGCUCCUAGUACGAGAGGACCGGAGUGGACGCAUCACUGGUGUUCGGGUUGUCAUGCCAAUGGCACUGCCCGGUAGCUAAAUGCGGAAGAGAUAAGUGCUGAAAGCAUCUAAGCACGAAACUUGCCCCGAGAUGAGUUCUCCCUGAGACUUAGAGUCUCCUGAAGGAACGUUGAAGACGACGACGUUGAUAGGCCGGGUGUGUAAGCGCAGCGAUGCGUUGAGCUAACCGGUACUAAUGAACC
rnacentral:rRNA from 1 species